rnacentral:piRNA from 1 species
AGCCCUGCAGUGGAACAUGAUGCCAGAAA